rnacentral:rRNA from 1 species
GCUCCAAUAGCGUAUACUAAAGUUGUUGCAGUUAAAAAGCUCGUAGUUGGAUUUCUGGUCGAAGCAGCCGGUCGGCCCCUAGUGGGUUUGUACCAGGCGCUUCGUCCAUAUUUGUAAAGAUUAUGCCUGUCAUUAAGUUGUUGGGUAUAAGAUUUGCAUCAUUACUGUGAGCAAAAUAGAGUGUUCAAAGCAGGCUUAGG